AUUGAACGCUGGCGGCAGGCCUAACACAUGCAAGUCGAACGAGUGGCGGACGGGUGAGUAAUGUCUGGGAAACUGCCUGAUGGAGGGGGAUAACUACUGGAAACGGUAGCUAAUACCGCAUACCAUCAGAUGUGCCCAGAGGGGAUUAGCUAGUCGGUGGGGUAACGGCUCACCAAGGCGACGAUCCCUAGCUGGUCUGAGAGGAUGACCGGCCGCACUGGAACUGAGACACGGUCCAGACGCCUACGGGAGGCAGCAGUGGGGAAUAUUGCACAAUGGGCGAAAGCCUGAUGCAGCCAUGCCGCGUGUAUGAAGAAGGCCUUCGGGUUGUAAAGUACUUUCAGCGGGGAGGCGUUACCCACAGAAGAAGCACCGGCUAACUCCGUGCCAGCCGCCGCGGUAAUAC
rnacentral:rRNA from 1 species